rnacentral:lncRNA from 1 species
AAGUAGCGCGUGAGCUUGGCCUCAGGCUGCUUUCUGGAGAACCCAGGCGACGGUGAGACCUUCUGACCCUUUACCUUCCAUCCUUCAGUCUGCUGCGCGCUGUUACUUCGCUUCAGGUUCCUGGGGAAGCAGUGCGGCCUCAGCGAGGGAGGAGUUUCAGGAGGGUGAGGACGGUGUUGUUACAUAGAUGAAAUGUUUCAGGAAGAAGUCCU